rnacentral:rRNA from 1 species
UUCGCCGGGGGACUACGAGCACAAGCUUAAAACCCAAAGGACUUGGCGGUGCUUUAGACCCACCUAGAGGAGCCUGUUCUAGAACCGAUAACCCCCGUUAAACCUCACCCUUUCUUGCCAUUACCGCCUAUAUACCGCCGUCGUCAGCUUACCCUAUGAAGGAAGAACAGUAAACGAAAUCGGUUUAAACCCAAAACGUCAGGUCGAGGUGUAGCGAAUGAAAGGGAAAGAAAUGGGCUACAUUUCCUAAUGCAGGAAAUCACGGAAAUAUAUUAUGAAAAAAUAUAUGAAGGAGGAUUUAGCAGUAAAUAGAAAACAGAG